rnacentral:rRNA from 1 species
ACUAUCGUUAACUGAAUACAUAGGUUAACGAGGCGAACCGGGGGAACUGAAACAUCUAAGUACCCCGAGGAAAAGAAAUCAACCGAGAUUCCCCCAGUAGCGGCGAGCGAACGGGGAGCAGCCCAGAGUCUGAAUCAGCUUGUGUGUUAGUGGAACGGUCUGGAAAGUCCGACGGUACAGGGUGAUAGUCCCGUACACCAAAAUGCACAGGCUGUGAACUCGAAGAGUAGGGCGGGACACGUGGUAUCCUGUCUGAAUAUGGGGGGACCAUCCUCCAAGGCUAAAUACUCCUGACUGACCGAUAGUGAACCAGUACCGUGAGGGAAAGGCGAAAAGAACCCCGGCGAGGGGAGUGAAAAAGAACCUGAAACCGUGUACGUACAAGCAGUGGGAGCACCUUCGGGUGUGACUGCGUACCUUUUGUAUAAUGGGUCAGCGACUUAUAUUCUGUAGCAAGGUUAACCGUAUAGGGGAGCCGCAGGGAAACCGAGUCUUAACUGGGCGUUAAGUUGCAGGGUAUAGACCCGAAACCCGGUGAUCUAGCCAUGGGCAGGUUGAAGGUUGGGUAACACUAACUGGAGGACCGAACCGACUAAUGUUGAAAAAUUAGCGGAUGACUUGUGGCUGGGGGUGAAAGGCCAAUCAAACCGGGAGAUAGCUGGUUCUCCCCGAAAGCUAUUUAGGUAGCGCCUCGUGAAUUCAUCUUCGGGGGUAGAGCACUGUUUCGGCUAGGGGGUCAUCCCGACUUACCAACCCGAUGCAAACUACGAAUACCGAAGAAUGUUAUCACGGGAGACACACGGCGGGUGCUAACGUCCGUCGUGAAGAGGGAAACAACCCAGACCGCCAGCUAAGGUCCCAAAGUCAUGGUUAAGUGGGAAACGAUGUGGGAAGGCACAGACAGCCAGGAUGUUGGCUUAGAAGCAGCCAUCAUUUAAAGAAAGCGUAAUAGCUCACUGGUCGAGUCGGCCUGCGCGGAAGAUGUAACGGGGCUAAACCAUGCACCGAAGCUGCGGCAGCGACACUAUGUGUUGUUGGGUAGGGGAGCGUUCUGUAAGCCUGCGAAGGUGACCUGUGAGGGUUGCUGGAGGUAUCAGAAGUGCGAAUGCUGACAUAAGUAACGAUAAAGCGGGUGAAAAGCCCGCUCGCCGGAAGACCAAGGGUUCCUGUCCAACGUUAAUCGGGGCAGGGUGAGUCGACCCCUAAGGCGAGGCCGAAAGGCGUAGUCGAUGGGAAACAGGUUAAUAUUCCUGUACUUGGUGUUACUGCGAAGGGGGGACGGAGAAGGCUAUGUUAGCCGGGCGACGGUUGUCCCGGUUUAAGCAUGUAGGCUGGUUGUCCAGGCAAAUCCGGAUAAUCAAGGCUGAGGUGUGAUGACGAGGCACUACGGUGCUGAAGUAACAAAUGCCCUGCUUCCAGGAAAAGCCUCUAAGCAUCAGGUAACAUCAAAUCGUACCCCAAACCGACACAGGUGGUCAGGUAGAGAAUACCAAGGCGCUUGAGAGAACUCGGGUGAAGGAACUAGGCAAAAUGGUGCCGUAACUUCGGGAGAAGGCACGCUGGUGUGUAGGUGAAGUCCCUGCGGAUGGAGCUGAGACCAGUCGAAGAUACCAGCUGGCUGCAACUGUUUAUUAAAAACACAGCACUGUGCAAACACGAAAGUGGACGUAUACGGUGUGACGCCUGCCCGGUGCCGGAAGGUUAAUUGAUGGGGUUAUCCGUAAGGAGAAGCUCUUGAUCGAAGCCCCGGUAAACGGCGGCCGUAACUAUAACGGUCCUAAGGUAGCGAAAUUCCUUGUCGGGUAAGUUCCGACCUGCACGAAUGGCGUAAUGAUGGCCAGGCUGUCUCCACCCGAGACUCAGUGAAAUUGAACUCGCUGUGAAGAUGCAGUGUACCCGCGGCAAGACGGAAAGACCCCGUGAACCUUUACUAUAGCUUGACACUGAACAUUGAGCCUUGAUGUGUAGGAUAGGUGGGAGGCUUUGAAGCGUGGACGCCAGUCUGCGUGGAGCCAACCUUGAAAUACCACCCUUUAAUGUUUGAUGUUCUAACGUUGGCCCCUUACCGGGGUUGCGGACAGUGUCUGGUGGGUAGUUUGACUGGGGCGGUCUCCUCCCAAAGCGUAACGGAGGAGCACGAAGGUUAGCUAAUCCUGGUCGGACAUCAGGAGGUUAGUGCAAUGGCAUAAGCUAGCUUGACUGCGAGCGUGACGGCGCGAGCAGGUGCGAAAGCAGGUCAUAGUGAUCCGGUGGUUCUGAAUGGAAGGGCCAUCGCUCAACGGAUAAAAGGUACUCCGGGGAUAACAGGCUGAUACCGCCCAAGAGUUCAUAUCGACGGCGGUGUUUGGCACCUCGAUGUCGGCUCAUCACAUCCUGGGGCUGAAGUAGGUCCCAAGGGUAUGGCUGUUCGCCAUUUAAAGUGGUACGCGAGCUGGGUUUAGAACGUCGUGAGACAGUUCGGUCCCUAUCUGCCGUGGGCGCUGGAGAAUUGAGGGGGGCUGCUCCUAGUACGAGAGGACCGGAGUGGACGCAUCACUGGUGUUCGGGUUGUCAUGCCAAUGGCACUGCCCGGUAGCUAAAUGCGGAAGAGAUAAGUGCUGAAAGCAUCUAAGCACGAAACUUGCCCCGAGAUGAGUUCU